rnacentral:misc_RNA from 1 species
UGGUGCUCGACUUCUGCUCCUUCCACCCACUCCGUGCCGGUGCCGCUUCGCAUCGCUUUUGCGUACACGGUUUUGUUGUGGUUCUGUUUUGCGUGUGUUUUUCUUGUUGGCUUCUCGUGUCGGAACGCCUCCACCUCCCCCUCCCCCCGACGUGACCGCUGCACUGCGCGCAUCGUAGCACCAAGGGAAAACAGCGCUUCACAGCACGCCGAGCAGCAAAGGGAGCAACGCCACCCUCACUCGUCCACGUGUGCAACCCCUCCCUUCCUGGGCGUGUGUCGUAAGCGGUUUCUUCGUGCGUUCGACGAUCACGUAGAGCGACGCGUGCCGUGAAGCACCCCUCGCCCUGCCCUGCCUGCCCCCGCUCCACUUCAUCUCUCCUUCCCUUUCACUUGGUGCCCUCACGACCUUCCGCAGCACAACCAUCACCGUGGAUCUUCGACGAAGACCCGCCGCGCACAGUGGCGCUGACCAGUCUUUGCGUGCCUCGCUCGCAGAUGAGUCUCUCCCAGGCGACGAAGGACUGCGUCACGGCAGUCCGCAAAGCCGUCAAGAAGCGCCUAUGUGGGGAUGUUGUGAGCGAGGAGAGGAUCGGCGCAGUCCUCCAGCUGCAGCUGCCGGCGACCGCCGCAUCCGAGGCGGAGGUCGCUCAAAUACUACUCUCCGCGAUGGUCAAGGCCGCCUGCGGGGCACAGAGGGGCUCUACAAAGCUGCCCAAUGGAGAGGUCAUCGUGGACGGCACCGCCCCACUUGCCCUGCACUCCUUUGCGGAGGUGGUGCGCGUGAGCACAUUUCGUUUCCAGGAUCUGCCAGCGGGCAACCCCGCUCUACGUCUGGUGGCCGAAGCCACGUACACACGCCACCUCCAACGUUCAUCCGAGCUUUCGGUACAGUGCAUUCACAACUUUCCGCCAUGCCUUCUGGGCGAGGCACUCUCGCGCUUCGACGUGAGCGUCGGCGGCUAUGUUGUGCUGUCGCUCUCGGUGGACAAAGACCGUGGCAUUCAGCUGCGCCUUUUCACCACCGCCAUCGAUGCAGUGAUGGCGUGCAUGUGCAGCACCUCCUUCACAGCAGAGGUGCUGCCGCGAAAGUGGGCAAGCCGCGACACGCUGCAGCCGCCUCAGCUCCUCGAGAUGCUGGAGGAGGUGCAGAUGGCCAUUUCCGAGUACUGGAACGACAGCGCGCAGGACGACCACGCCCGCUCGGUCGCGGUGUUUCUGAUGAGGUCCGUCGGCACUGACAUUUGCGAGUACUUCGGCACCAAGGCAGCGGCCGCCGGCGGGCUGUUUCGCGGCGAAAAGAAGGUGCUCGAGGAGGCACACGUGUGCUGCGAGGAAUGGCUGAACACGUGCGCGAGGCUGACCACGAUCGACUGGGGAGCCGUGUGGAGGGACCGAUACGAAGAUGCGGCCCUCGUGUGCAUUCGGGAUCGCCUGCGCACGACCCUCGCGUUGCGUGGCAUUAUCGAAGAGAUUCGCGAGCUGCUUGGCGCCAGCGACUUCCGUGCCCUGAAGACGGACGCACUCUGGGACGUUUUCGACGAUGUAGAUGUGAUGGAUCCCUCGAGCGGGGCUCAGAGUGAGUGGGGCGGCGCCCUGGCCGCCUACUACCGCCGCCUCGAGCCGAUCGAGCAACGAUGCGCCGGUGUUCUGCGUGACUUGUUUGCCACCCGCGCCGGACUUGCGCCGCAGGCUAUCUUGCACGAGUUCUCUGGCUACUGCCACCUCAUGAAGCGCCCUAUCAUCUCGAGGGAGCUGGUGACGGAGCGAGAUGGGCUGCUAGCCAAGCUGAACGAUCGAUUGGACGCGAUUCGACUAGAGUACACGCGUCGUGCCGAGAGCACCGAGGACGAGCUCGUGCUCGAGGAGGAGGACCGCCGCUGCCAGGCGGGACGCUUUUUCCCUGGUGUCGUGAACAACAUAAUCUGGCUCCGCCAGCUGCGUGGGCGUGUGGAGGAGAACAUCGCGAUGUGCACCUCCAUCCUCGUCGACCUGCCGACGGCGAGCGCGUUCGUGGCGUCAGCGAAUCAGCUGCUGGACGAGCUGCACGACUAUGAGCAGGAAUGCUACCGAAACUGGGUGGCGGAUGUGGAGGACAAGAGCGACGCGCUGACACUGGACGCGGACGCCCCUUUGAUGGAAAUUGACGCGAAGGGGCGGGUGGAUGUCAACUACGCGGAGCGGCUGGUGCAGCUCCUGAAGGAGGUGCGAGUGCUCGGCGCCAUCGGCUUCCACAUUCCCCGCACCAUCGCUCGUCUGGCGCAGCAAGGGGCGCAGUUUCUGCCGAUGGGCGUCGCCCUGAAGCAGGUCGCUAACACGUACAACUCCAUGGCCGCGGACAUCAUCCCUUGCACGCGCGCCAUGCUACUGGAGCCUGCCGUCAGCUUCGAGAAAAUUAUCACGGCCAGCGGCGAAAAGAAGCUCACGUGGCGCAGCAAGAAAGAGGCUGCGCGCUUCAUUGAGCGGCUGCAGAGCGCUGCUCAGUCCCUGACGGAGUUCAACCGCCGUCUGCACAAGACGCACCACGAGAUUGAAGGGAUGGUGGUGGAGCUCCUCGACAUCAGCCUGCUCCGCUCCCGUGAUCGCUGGCUCAGCAAAGCGCGGCAGAUUCGAGAGAAGAUAGAGACCUCGGGCUUUCAAAACACGGAGUCGUGGCGGCAUUUCUGGGAUAUGCAGCUCUACAAGGCGAUGGAGGCGCAGUAUCAGCUGGGUCUCGAGUCCCUCAACGAGGCUGUCGAGGAGAUCAAGGCCGACAUCGUCUACCACGCCGAAAGUGGACAGGCGGCUCUGCGCCCUCCCCUGGAGGUACUCCGGCUGCAGUACUACCAGCGCAUCAGCGACUUUAUCACCUUUCCGCGCCGCUUCCAAGGGUGCGGCAAGGAGGGCGUGUUUCACGAGAUGCCGUCGCGCAACGCGCACGGCAUCUACGUGGUGCUGCAGUCUGCAGGUCAGCUCUUCAAGCGCGUGAUGCACGAGCUCAAGCGGUUCUCGCCGUACCUCGUCAUUGGCCGCUGCGGCCUCGACGGCAACCCGAGUCUCGAGGAGAUCGUCGGGAAGUCGCUCACCGAGGUGCAGCACUGGGAGCAGAGUGUGCGACUGCUCAAGCAGAAGAGCAAGGACAUCAACAGCGAGGACCUGUUCAUCCGCUGCGGCUGCAUCACGCUGUGCACGGCGGCCAUCAAAGGCGCCGUCGAGGAUCACCUUGUCCGUCUCACGGACGCCCUCAAGGUGACGCUUAAGCAGAGCGCCGAGAAGCACCUGAAUUCCAUCAAUGACUACCUUGCAAAAGCGGCCAAGUGUCUAGACAGCAAGAUGACGAAGCUGGGCGAGAUCGGUCAGGCCAACCUGCUCUACGGCGAGCUCAUGGAGCAGCGCCCUGCCAUGGAGGUGGAGUUCUACCACUUCUACAACAAAAACGUACUGCUGCAGAACAUGACCGGCACUCCGGGGCUCGACUUCACCAAGACAAAGGAUCGCUGGACGAAUUUCAUGAAGCGCCUCGACUCGCACGAAAAGGAGCUCGAUGAGCAGCUGAAUCGCAUACAGGAGAACGUCUCGAGCUCGGUCAGGGAGUGGGAGAGGGACUCCGUCCGCUUCACGACGCGCUGGCACGAGCUCAAGCCGAAGGAACUGACGGCGCACAAGCCGCUGGCGUUCGUGAUGAAGAAGAAGGAAGAGCUGCAAGCACUCAAGGAGCGCGGGGAGGAGUGCAAGAAGCAGUGUGAGUACUUUCAUCUUGACGAGCCGGACCUGCAGCCGAUCGAGGACGCGGAGGCCGACAUAGAGGACUACAUCAAAAUGUGGAGCAUGCUGGGCGACUUCCAGCUGCAGGUGCAGGAGCUGUGCAAGGAGCCGUGGAUCAGCUUCUGCGCCAAGGUCUACCGUUUCGAGGACUUCGUGAAACUGUGGCAGGGACAGCUGAAAGAGAUUCCGGCGAAUUCGGUCACGGUGCACAUCCGCACGAUACUGGACAACUGGUCGCGCUGCGUGCCCCUGCUCAAGUACGUCCGCGGAGAGGGCUUUACCUCUGCCCACUGGACAGAGUUGUUCCAGCUGCUCAAACUUCGCAGCCUCACGCAGGACACAGUGAAGUUUGGCCAGAUCCUUGACCGCUACGAGGACAUCCUUAAGAACGAGGGCCCUAUCAAGAAGCUGCACAGCCGCGCGCAGGGCGAGGCACAAAUCCGCGAGGCGCUCGAUGACGUACGGGCCUGGGGCACGGGUGCCCGUUUUGUCCUCACGCCGCACCAGGACCGCGCCGGGGUUGUGCUGAUCACGGACUGGAAGGACACCAUGUCGGCGCUCAGCGACAACCGCGCGCUGCUGCUGAGCAUGAAAGAGUCACCGUACUUUGGCCUCUUCUCGAACGACGCCACCAAGUGGGAGGAGCGCCUCUCGACCCUCGACGAGUACCUCCGUCACAUGAAUCAAAUCCAACGCAAGUGGGUGUACCUGGAGCCCAUUUUCCGCCGUGGCGCCCUGCCGCACGAGAAGCAGCGCUUCGACCGCAUCGACUCGGCCUACCUGACCGUGAUGAAGGCGGUGGAGAACGACAGCCGGCUGAUGGCUCUUGCCGAGCACACGGAGUUUAAGGCCACGCUGCACGACGUCUCGGAGCAGCUGGAGCGGUGCCAAAAGGCGCUCAACGAGUACCUGGAGUCGAAGCGUGACGGCUUCCCACGUUUCUACUUCAUCAGCGACGACGAUCUUCUCGAGAUCCUCGCGCAGAGCAAGAACCCCAGCGUCAUUCAGUCGCACCUCAAGAAGCUUUUCAUGGGCAUUCACAGCGUCCAGUUCGACGCGCAGAGGGAGAACAUCCUGCAUAUCCAGUCACUCGAAGGGGAGGUGGUGACGCUGCUGAAGCCGGUUCGGGUCACGGAGGAGGUAGAGGCGUGGCUCUCCCAGCUGGAUGCGGGGGUGAAGGCGACGCUCAAGGCGCACGUGGCGCAGUGUGUGGCCAAGGCCGACAUCGGCACCUACGCCUCACAGGUGCUGUGCACAGCGGAGAUGAUCACCUUCACGCGCAAGGUCGAGACUGCGAUACGGGACCCUAUCGGCAGUGCCGCUGCGCUUCAGAAGCUGAAGAGUCAGCUGCAGACCCGGCUACGCGAGCUCACUGCGUACGCUGGCGGCAACAGCGAUGCGCUGGUCGGCAUCAAGCUGAAGGCGCUCAUCAUGGACCUCAUUCACAACAUCGAGGUGGUGCAGCUGCUCAUCGCGAAUGGCGUUGAUAAAGAGUCGCACUGGCUGUGGAAGAAGCAGCUCCGCUUCUACCUAGACAACACUCAGCAGUGCGUGCUGCGCAUGGUGGACGCGGAAUUCCGGUACAGCUACGAAUAUCAGGGCAACGCCCCAAAGCUGGUGCACACGCCGCUGACGGACUGCUGCUACCUCACCCUUACACAGGGCAUGCGGCUGGGCUAUGGCGGCAACCCGUACGGCCCCGCGGGCACUGGCAAGACGGAGUCGGUAAAGGCGCUGGGUAACGCAAUGGGGCGCCAGGUGCUCGUCUUCAACUGUGAUGAGGGGAUCGACUUCAAGUCUAUGGGCCGAAUUUUCACGGGCCUCGUCAAGUGCGGCGCCUGGGGCUGCUUCGACGAGUUCAACCGUCUUAAGGUCGACCAACUGUCAGCGGUCUCGCAGAUGAUCCAGGUCAUCCAGGAAGCCCUCAAGAACGGCGACAAGGAGUGCCAGCUGCUUGGCAAGAGCAUCAACGUCGACCCCAACGCUGGCAUCUUCGUGACGCUGAAUCCGGCCGGCAAGGGCUACGGCGGCCGGAGCAAGCUGCCAGAUAACCUGAAGCAGCUCUUCCGCUCUAUCUCGAUGAGCGCCCCGGAUAACGAGCUCAUUACAGAAACGAUCCUCUACAGUGAGGGGUUCGAGAACGCGACGCAGCUGGCGACCAAGGUUGUCGAGACCUUCACGCUGUGCAGUCAGCUCCUGUCCCACCAACAGCACUACGACUGGGGACUGCGCGCCAUGAAAGCGGUUCUGCGCCUUGGCGGCACGCUCGUCCACGACUUCUUGAUGGAGCGGGUGGCAGGCAAGGUUCAACUGUCUGCGGAGCAGAUUCUGCAGAAGGAGAGUGAGAUCCUGAUCAAGUCGCUUCGAGUCAACACGCUGUCCAAGCUCACCUUCGACGACGCCGUAAUCUUCAACACCCUCCUCAGCGACAUAUUUCCUGGUAUUCCGGUGCUGGAAAUCGACUACCAGAAGUUGCGACCAGCCAUCGAGGAGUCCAUCAAGGAGCUCAGGCUGCAGGUGGUGGAGGCACAGAUCCAGAAGAUUCUCCAACUGUACGAGGCACUGCAGCAGCGCAUGGGUGUCGUGCUUGUCGGACCAAGCGGGAGCGGCAAGAGUACCCUCAUGAAGGUGCUGCGCCGUGCGCUGCAGCGGCUCGGCACGAAGGUGCCGCUCUACGUCGUGAACCCCAAGGCUUUACCGCGUGAGCAGCUGCUCGGCCACAUGGACCCUGACACUCGCGAGUGGUUCGACGGUGUCCUCACGGACGCGGCGAGGAAAGUGGUGAAGGAGGAGGCGUCGGCGCGGUCGUGGAUCGUUUGCGACGGCGACAUCGAUCCGGCGUGGGUGGAGUCGCUGAACUCGGUGCUGGACGAUAACAAGCUACUGACGAUGCCGAACGGCGUGCGAGUACAGUUUGGCGACAACGUGAACUUCCUCUUCGAGACUCACAGCCUCGAGUUUGCUUCGCCGGCCACGGUGUCGCGCAUGGGCAUCAUCUACCUCUCCGAGGAGGACGUGGACCCGAAGAUGACGGUUGCCUCGUGGCUGGCAGAGCAACCAGAGGAGUUGCAGCAGCAGCUGCGGCAGUGGAUCGACGCCUACUUCUACAAGGCGAUCGACUUGCUGCUCUCUUCCGGGGAUCUUGUCGUGGGGACGACGCGGACAGGACUCGUGAUGUCCGGGCUCGUGCAGAUGAGGAACUGCACGACGAAGAAACAGUUUGUGCUGGCGCUGCUCUACGGACUGGGCUCCUACUUGCCGGAUGAGACGCGGCGCACGUACGCGAAAGAUAUCCUCCUCCUAGCCGAGGAGCGGGCCCCGGAUGCGAAAAACCCGCUGGACUUCCGGUACGACGAGGAUCGGCAGGACUACGUCUCACUGGAGUUCGUGCCGGCGGCGGACCUCGCCAUCGACGACCUGUACCGCCAUCCGAUGGUGUCGACGGUGGAAUGCCAGCGCGCGCUGGAUGUGAUGCGGGCGUGGACGAAGCCGACGAGCCCGGGCGUGUACCGUCCCUUCAUCUUGGUCGGCCCGGAGGGGUGUGGCAAGACGAUGCUGCUAAACAAUCUGUUUAUGAGCACGACCAGCACACGCGUCGCGAGCAUCAACUGCUCGGCACAGACGGAGGCAAUACACGUUAUUCAAAAGCUGAGGCAGGCGUGCUCCAUCUUUAACUCGAACCAAGGCAAGGUGCUCCGGCCCAAGGAGGCGGAGCGGCUUAUUCUCCUCCUGAAGGACCUCAACCUGCCAAAGCCGGACCGCUACGGCAGCGUCCAGCUGCACUCCUUUCUCCAGCAGCUUAUCCUGUACAACGGUUUCUACGACGCGGAACUCGAGUGGGUCACGGUCGAGCGGGUGCAGAUCGUGGGAAGCAUAAGCCCGCUCGGCAGCAUGGGCCGCCACCCCGUCGCGCCGCGUUUCCUAGCGAUCACGUCCGUCUUGAGCAUCUCAUACCCUUCCAAGGAGGCGCUGCAGCAGGUGUACUCGGAGUUCAUCAAGGUCAUGCUCGAAAGUGGACGGCUGAAGCUGAACAUGCCGAACAAGGGGGCGGCCGACUUGGCCCGCGGUGUCACCACCAUCUACGAGACCGUCGCCGCGCGCUGCACGGUGGACGUGGCGUCGCACUAUGUCUUCAACCCACGAGACAUCACCCUGUGGGUGUUGAACUUGCUGAACUACGACACCCCCAACAUCGCUGACGUCCUUGCAUACGAGGCGCGGCGCAUCUUUGUCGACCGCCUGGUGACUGCCGAGGAGCGUAUGCGCCUGGCCAAGGUCAUCCGCGAUAACGUGACGCUGCUUGUCGGCCACCGUGACGCGCCGUCAGAGAAGGAGAGCAUUUACUACGUGUCAUGGCUGGACGCGACGCGCGUCGGCAAGAAGCGGCUGUCGGGUACUACGCUCGAGGAAGUGAAAACGUCCGCGGAAGCGUUCGCCCUCAACUACUCUCGCGAGAACGCCGGGCUCAACGUGCAGCUUAUCCCGGAGGUGUGCGCGUGGAUCGCCCGCGUCGACCGCGUGCUGUCGCAGGAGCGCGGCAACCUAAUGCUGGUGGCGCGCGCCGGUGUGUGCGCGCCGCAGAUCGUGCGUCUCGUCGCGUACAACAACCGAACAGAGGUUGUGACACUCGGCAUCACGCGCGAGUACGGCGUCAAGCAAUUCACCGCGGAGCUGAAGAGUGUCAUGACGAAGGCUGGGGUGGAGGGGCAGAGCGUUGUGUUGCUGCUCGAGGACUUCAACUUCUUCCAUCCCUACUUCCUUGAGACGGUCAACUCGCUGCUCUCAUCUGGCGAGGUCGCCGGACUCUUCACCCAGGAGGAGCAGGACGCGUUGCUGAACCCCCUAAAGGACGAGGCAGCGGGGGAGGGCAUGAGCACCUACAACUUCUUUGUCGACCGCAUUGCCCGCUAUCUGCACAUCGUUGUUGUCAUGGACCCGACAAACCGCAACUACGAGCUGCAGUGCCGCGCCAACCCCGCCCUCUUCACUCGCUGCAACGUGUACUGGAUGGGGACGUGGGACAGCAGCAGUCUCAAGGUGAUACCGCGCAUCAUGAUCGCUGACGUCUACAAGGCGCUCGACCAGCGCGAGGACAAGAAAGAGUUCAGCCUGACGACGGAGCUCGUGCACUUGCACCGCUCCUUCGGAGAAAAGUUCGCUCCGCAGCACUUUAAGGUGCUGUGCGAGACUUUCGAUCAUGUGUUUCAGGAGAAGAGCCGCCAGGUCGCGGACGGGCUAGCUCGACUGAAGAGCGGCGUCAGAAAGCUCGACGAGGCGCAGGAGAACGUCGACAAGAUCGCGACGGAUGUGACUGAGAAAAAGCAGCUGCUGGAAGUGAAGCAGCAAGAGGCCGACGACGCGCUGAAGGAGAUCCAGAAGCGAAUGGAGGAAGCUGGCAACCAGAAGCGCAGUAUCCACAAGAUGCAGAAGGAGCUCGACAAAGAGCAGUCGGCGAUUCAGGAACGCAAGGUCGUCAUCGAGGGCCGGCUGAGCGGCAUUCAGCCGGUGUUGGACGCCGCCCUGUCGGCUGUCAGCUCCAUCCGCUCCGACCACUUGACGGAGCUGCGCUCCAUGGCCAAGCCGCCGGCAGCGGUGCAGUGUGUCAUGCAAGGUGUCGUGCUGCUGAUUGAGGCGGGAAAGGGUGCCGAAGCGGCUACGUGGCCUGCCAUACGCAAAGUCCUGGCUGGUGACAUCAAGGGCCAGAUUCUCAACUACGACAUCGACAACGUCGGCGCCGCCGCCCGGACGCAGGUGGAGAAAUUCAUUGCCUCCAACGUCGAGUACUUCAAGCGCGAAACCAUUGCCCGCGCCUCCAAGGCUGCGGCACCGAUGGCAGAGUGGCUCAAGGCAGUGGUCGAGUACAGCAAGGUGCUGGAGACGGUGGCGCCGAUGCGGGACGAGCUGAAGGAGUACGAGGCUAACCUGCAGAAGGGCCAAGAGGAGAUGACCAAGUACGAGGGCAAGCUGAAAAAGGUGGAGAAGAAGGUGGAGGAGCUCAAGGGCAAGUUCGGCGAGAAGACGGUCGAGGCGGAGCGGCUCAAGGACAAGCUGGAGCAGGCCGAGCAACUGCUCGAGAACGCCCAGGAGCUGCUGUCGAAGCUAGGGGAUGAGCACACGCGCUGGACGGCGCAGAUGAAGGCGAUCAAGCAGGACUCGUACUUCUUGCCGAAGCGCUGCCUGCUCGCCGCCGGCGUUAUCACCUACCUCGGCGAGGACCCAGAAGACACGCGCCGCGCCACCUUGUCGGAGUGGAAGGAACGGGUGAAGCUGCACGACUUCAACUUCUUCACAUUUCUGCGCGAUGAGAGCGUUCAGCUGCACUACAAGGCCGAGGGCCUACCGGGCGACGAGCUCUCCAUGGACAAUGCCGUCAUGAUUCACGAGCAGGUGAACACGCCGCUCAUCAAGGACCCCUCUGGUCAGGCGGUGGGGUGGCUGCAGGCGAACCUGAAGAAGCAGAAGGCGGUGGUGGAUGUCUGCAGCAUCUCCGAGGACCGCCUCGUCUCCGCGCUCGAGCUGGCGCUGCGGUUUGGGAAGAAGUUUAUCGUGUCGGAUGUGGACAGGGUCGAGCCGUUUCUGUACCCUAUUCUCCGCAAGGAGUUCCACAACGAAGGCACAAAGCGCGUCAUUCAGAUUGGCGACCGCCGCACCGUCGACUACGCGGAUGGCUUCCAGCUGUACCUCGUCACGCGAAGCACGGACCUGCAUGUGCCGCCGGAUAUCAUCAGCUACCUCACACCCAUUAGCUUCACCAUCACGCAGAGUGGGCUGGAGGGGCAGUUCCUCGGCAUCACGAUCCAGCACGAGCAGCCGCAGCUGGAGAAGGAGAAGCUCGACAUGCUCGAGAAGGAGGAGGGCCUCAAGAUGCAGCUGGCAGAGCUGGAGGAGCGGCUGCUGACGAACCUUGCCAACUCGGAAGGGUCGCUGCUAGAGGACACAACGCUGAUUGAGUCGCUGAAUCAGAUUAAGUCACAAGCGAGCUACAUCACCACGGCGUUAGAGCAGUCGAAAGUGGUGCAGGAGGACCUCGAUAGAAAGCGGAACGUCUACCGCCCCUUCGCCACCACCGCCAGCUCCGUCUUUUUUCUGACCAAGAGUCUGGAGGAGCUCUCGCACAUGUAUCAGUUCUCCUUCCAGCUCUUUCUCGACCUCUUCCUGCGGGCGCUGAAACGGCACAAGGACCUGCGCACCGACCCUGAGACAAAGAUCGCGGCGCUGCAGGAGACGUUCAUCCAGAUCACUGUGUCCGCCAUUGCGCAGUCGCUCUUCAAGGAGCACCGCGUCGUGUACGGCAUCCACCUGUGCCGCAACAUUCACCACGGCGCCUGCACCGCGGCCGAGUGGGACUUCUUCAUGGACAAGGCGAUUGCCGCGGAGGAAAAGCGGAAGGAGGUGCGCGUGCCGACCUUUGUACUGCCGGACAGCGUGCAGACAUUCCGCACCUUUGCGGCGCUGUUCCCCGACCUGGUCUCGAAGGCGCGCUUUCAGGAGGCAGACGUGUGGCUGCAAUGGAUGCGCGCCGCGACCCCGGAGUCGGAGUACCCUGACUUCCUCAAGUCACUCACGCACUUUCAGCGGCUGCUGCUCAUGAAGACGCUUCGCAGCGACCGCCUCAUCGCCGCCAUGAACGCGGUGGCGUGUACGCUGCUGAAGGUCGACUCCCUUGGCGAGAACGGCACCCUUGUCUCCGCCGUCGAGCAGUCCGACGCGAACCGCCCUGUCCUGGUGAUCACAUCCGCUGGUGCAGACCCCUCACAGGAGUUGCAGGCCAUCGCCCGUGAAACGAUGGGCCGAACGCGGUUUCACCAGCUCGCCAUGGGCAGCGGACAGACGGACGAGGCAAUGCGGCUGCUGCGCGAGUCUGCCGUGAAGGGCGAUUGGCUCUUCUUAAAGAACCUACACCUCGUCAUUCCGUGGGUGUCGCAGCUGCAGAAGGAGCUGAUGGUGCUCAAGCCAGACGCGUCGUUCCGGCUCUUCCUCACAAGCGAGGCGCACGACGAGUUCCCGUCGAUGCUGCUGGGCCAGUCUCUGAAGAUCACAUUCGAGCCACCGCCAGGGAUCAAGCAAAACCUGCUGCGCACCUACAGUGGCUGGGACGCCGCCUUUGUGAACGAGAAGGACGAAAAGCAGCGUCAGCUCCUCUUCGCGGCGGCAGCGCUGCAGGCGAUUGUUCAGGAGCGUCGCUCCUACGUACCGCAGGGCUGGACGAAGGACUACGAAGUCACUGCGGCAGACCUCAAGGCGUCCGUCGACAUUGUACUCCAUCAGUCGGCGUGCGGCGACAUUGACUGGUACUCCAUCCGCGGCAUCCUCAACGAUGCCAUCUACGGCGGCAAGAUGGAGACGCCCUUCGACAAGCGCAUCAUGGCAACCUACGUUGACAAGAUGUUCCGCGUCAACUGCAUGGCCGGCACGAAGAAGCAGGAACCGCUGUUCCACCACACACGCAUUCCAAGUGGUGAUUACGCCGAGUUCAUGAAAGUCAUCAAGAAACUGCCGGACAGCGAUAUCCCCGUUCUUUUCUCGCUGCCGCCCAACGCCGACCGGGCGGUGCAACUGUCGCGAGUGCGUGCCCUCACCGGCGACCUGCAGCGCAUCAGUGAGUCCUACAGUGAGGCGGCGUUGGACCGCGAAGCUUGGGCCGCGCGACUGACACCAGUCCUCGACACCUGGGCUGCUUUGACGGCCCGGCACGCCGACAUACUCGUGCCUCUGCCGUCCGCCCCGCCCAGCCCGUCGGCCCAUUCCACGCCCGCCGCUGCGCGAAAGCCGCUGGAGCGCUUUCUCGAAGCCGAACAUUUGACGGCACUGCGCUUGGUGACUCAGGUCAACGUGGCGGUGAGCGAUCUUCGCAAGGUGAUCGACGGUGGUGCCCUGCUCACGGAGAACCGUCGCACGGAGGCUGCCGCGAUGAUCCUCGGUGACGUCCCGGCCAGCUGGGAAGGUCACUUCCCCAGCGCGGCUCGCAUUUCCACCUGGAUGCAGGCGCUGGUCAGCAAGGCCGUCACCAUCGGCGAGUGGCAGAAGAUGAUGGCGAACGGCACCUUCACAAGUGCCACAGUCGACCUCUCCAAAUUCAUGCGGGCAAAGACUUUCCUGAAUGCGCUGCGGCAGGAGACAGCGCACGCCAUCCGGCAGCCGCUAGUGUCGCUGGUGCUGGUGGCGACCACGUCUACGCCCCCAGCCGACGCGCCAUUAGUGACGGCCCUGGAGGGGCUCAUGCUGCAGGGUGCUGUGCUGGACGACGCGGAUCUAUUAGAGUCCAUCGCCACCGCUGAUGAGCCGGCGUUUUUUCCCAUCAAGAAGGCCUUUGCUGCGUGGAUGGCAUCGCCGCCGAUGCUCAAGGCCUCGGUGCGAGUGCCUGUCUACGCGAACACCACAAAGGAGGACUACGUCUGCGACUUCGUGCUCCCGUGCGCGGACGAAGUAGCCGCGCAGAACUUUGUGCUCUCUGGCGUGUCGAUCGUGCUGGAGCAGUAGAGCCACACACAGCCGCAUCGCUCGCGGUUUUUUUUUUCAUGCGUCUGUGCGUGUGCGUUGGGGCUUCGCUAGCCCCAGAGGUUGCUCGCCUGCUUUCUAUUCUCCACCCGUCUCUUUUUCCUCGCACCACGAGCUGCGACAGAGCGCAACCGUUGCGCACCGACUGCCGGUGCUCUUGUAGCCUGUUUUUCUCUCUUUUUUUGUCCCCCUCGGACGCGUUGAGUUUUGCAGCUCUUCUCCUCCGCGUCGUCUCCGCCUGGGCAGUGCUUCAUGGGUUGUCUGGGACAACCUGCACGCGAUCGCUCGGUCGCCCUCUGUGGACCCCGUUGGUGGUGGUGGUGAGCGGUCGCUGCGUCUGGUGUGAGACGGCGCUCGCUUGCUUUGCGUUAGCUGUUCAGCGCAUCAACGCGACUGUAUCUUGACCUGGUGUAGACGGGGGUCGCGAACAAAACUAAAAGAGUCGGGCGCCUGGAAGGUGCAUAUCGCAUGCGGUCGUCAAGGUUGGUGAGUUGGUGCGUGCAUGUAUAUGGCGAGGGCGGCCCACGCACGCCCCCCCCCUCCCCCCUAGCACGGCGCCAGUCGUGCCGCGGGGCAUACCGCUCAUCAACGCCACGUUUCCUCUUCCAAGCGCGGACGCCGUGCCCUAUCUGCGUUGGGUGUGUGUAUUCUUUUUGGCUGUCUUCUUUGUGCAAUGUGAACGCUGCCGAUGUACUCAUACAAGCAUGUAAGCACACACGCAUGCAUACAUGACGGUGCUGAUCACAGUGUGUCGAUCCCCCCUCCUCCCUUCGGCAAACAAGCACGCCAGCAAGAUCGCGGUGCCUUCGUUAGAGCGUGCCUAUGUUUGCGCGUGUGCCUUGGUGUCGAUCCCGGCGAUUUGCUGCGGAAUCACCGCCGAAGGCCACUAUUGACGAGCACUUGGUGAUCAUUAGCGAGUGCCGAAGCGUCGGCCUUGCCGGUAAAGAGCAGUGGUCUGCCGUGUUGCCGUGGGGCCACACGCGCCUUCCCUCGCCCGACUCUACCCCCGGCUGUCUUGUGCUUUCUUCUGCCCACUCUCCACUCACCUCCCAUCCCAUCGUCGCUGAUAG